UGAACUAUGGAUCUUAGCCA
rnacentral:siRNA from 1 species